rnacentral:lncRNA from 1 species
GCAGCUGAAAGAAUGUCUAUUCUACAUCAUGAUCGAGAAGUUCGCAAAGAGAAAAUGCUCAGGCAAAUGGAUAAAAUGAAAAGUCCACGAGUGGCUCUUUCAGCUGCAACACAGAAGUCUCUUGAUAGGAAGAAAUACAUGAAGUAAGUUUUUUGUAUCAUGUCAUGUUAGUUAUCAAACCAAUUAAUUUUAGUCAUCUGUUGGUCUAUUUGCAUAUUUAAAUUUAGAAAUAAAGAGUUAAUUUUUCUGCAGUUGAGCUGAUAGAAAUCCCCUUUAUAUAAAGAAAUUUAUUAAAAUCAGGUGCUAAAAUCUCAUUUCAUCUUAGAUGAAUUUAUUUACUAAAUUUGACAACAUUCAACUCAUAUAACUGAUAGCUGGUUAAUCUUAAAAACAGUUAAUCUUUAUAUUCAGUGCCUAAAUAUAUUCCUUUUCUGAUGUCCUAAAGGUUUCUUGGGAAUAAAGACUUAAUGGGAAAAAUAUCUUAAUAACUUUUUUAAAAAAUUCUUCUUUCUUGAAUGCAGUCUUUAAUAUGCUUAGUACAGGUCUUCCAGUAGUACACCAGCUUCUAAAUGAUGAUUUGUUUCUGUCAUCCUGUAUUACAUUUGUAAGCAUGUUUUCUUCCCUUCUCUAAAUACAUUAUGUCCUUAUUUUUAUAUUGUGUUAGAGCUGCUGAAAUGGGAAUGCCAAAUAAGAAAUUUCUGGUUAAACAAAAUCCUUCUGAAACAAGGUGAGAAAAAUCACUUAGUCUUAAUGAGAGGCUUUUUGUUUUUUAUAGAAAAAAAAAAUUGGCUGGGCACGGUGGCUCACGCCUGUAAUCC